rnacentral:lncRNA from 1 species
GUUUAGGGGCAUCGUCACUUCCGUUCUAAUGUUGAGGGAGUGGUUGAAAACAGUUAAUGCUAUUUUGCAUGAAUUAUUCGGCAAAUUAAAUUCUCAUAAUUGACAAUCAGCACUGCUGUCAUUAGGGAAUUGUAAUUUUAAAGUACUUACAAAACAAAUAAGAUUUCUAGUUUAUCCUGCACAAUGAUGAUCACUAAAACGCUUGAUUAACGUUAAUAGUGCAGGGAUACAGGUGAUCCCCUCUAUCUGGUAAAUGAUGUCAUAAAGGCGUGCAUAAUUGGCAAGUUUUUUACAGUGACGGAUGAACUCGAGAGUGGCCUAUUGAAACCCUUCUCCUUUAGUUAUUUGAAAUGAAUGGAGGAUAUUAAAAAUUGUAAAAAAAGGCAUUAACUGAAAGAAAAACAUUGCUUGUUUAUGGUCAAAUUUAGUUGAAUCGUCUCAAUU